rnacentral:rRNA from 1 species
UACGAGUGCCCCAAGCGUUAUCCGGAAUUACUGGGCGUAAAGCGCACGUAGGCGGAUUUGUAAGUCAGGGGUGAAAUCCCGGGGCUCAACCUCGGAACUGCCUUUGAUACUGCAAAUCUCGAGUCCGGAAGAGGUGAGUGGAAUUCCUAGUGUAGAGGUGAAAUUCGUAGAUAUUAGGAAGAACACCAGUGGCGAAGGCGGCUCACUGGUCCGGUACUGACGCUGAGGUGCGAAAGCGUGGGGAGCAAACAGG